rnacentral:rRNA from 1 species
AGUGAACGCUGGCGGUAGGCCUAACACAUGCAAGUCGAACGGCAGCACAGUAAGAGCUUGCUCUUACGGGUGGCGAGUGGCGGACGGGUGAGGAAUACAUCGGAAUCUACUUUUUCGUGGGGGAUAACGUAGGGAAACUUACGCUAAUACCGCAUACGACCUACGGGUGAAAGCAGGGGAUCUUCGGACCUUGCGCGAUUGGAUGAGCCGAUGUCGGAUUAGCUAGUUGGCGGGGUAAAGGCCCACCAAGGCGACGAUCCGUAGCUGGUCUGAGAGGAUGAUCAGCCACACUGGAACUGAGACACGGUCCAGACUCCUACGGGAGGCAGCAGUGGGGAAUAUUGGACAAUGGGCGCAAGCCUGAUCCAGCCAUACCGCGUGGGUGAAGAAGGCCUUCGGGUUGUAAAGCCCUUUUGUUGGGAAAGAAAAGCAGCAGGUUAAUACCCCGCUGUCCUGACGGUACCCAAAGAAUAAGCACCGGCUAACUUCGUG